ACUGGAUGCUGGUGUACUGAUGCAGGAAAGACUGACAUCUCCACAGCCCUACUUGCCAAGAGCUAAAAUAGAAAAAGAGGCCCGAGAGAUCCUCUAACUCACUUCUACUUUCCAAAGAUUCUGUGCUUUUACUUGAUUGGUGACAGCUUAUUUUUACUUCUAACCCUAACUGGGGAAAAGUCUGGAAAUGGCUUCUAGGCUCUGUUAGAAAGGUUCCCAUAGAAGGACAGUGGGGAAGAAAGGAAGCCAGCCCAGCCACAGUAUCUACCAUAAGGUAGUUGUGCUCUAUUUAUAGUUCUAUUUGAGUUAUUUGAAUCUUAUUUGCAUUAUUUAAAAAUUUUCUUUUACAGAAUCAGUCUUUGUGACAGGUAAAUGGUGAUUCUUGGGCUUUGUUUAUGCAUAAGUUAUUGUUUUUUAAUGAUUAUACUUUCUAUGCAAUAUUAUAUAUACAUAUAUGUUUACAGUUAUAAAUAUAAAUUAUAUAUAUAUAUAUUUUUUUUUAAAUAACUUUUUGGCAUUUCCUUAUAAGUUCAUAGGCCUGUUAUCAUAGUCAUCUUCCAUCAUCCCAUUAGUAUUUUGAAUGUUUUCCCUAGGUGAUUUAAUAAAAAGUUUAAAAAUGCAUCUGAGAGAACUAUGAAUAUUGAAAAUCAUAAUUUAUUGACUUAAGGAUGUGAAAUACACUAUAACAACAUGUUCCUUCUCCAGCAUAUCAUCCUUGUAUUGUAAAGCUACUUCUCAAUUUUUGGAGAGUUUGUUUUUGUUUUUGGAGGCUUUAAUUUGUAAGUCAUUAAAAUUUGGACUUCUUAAAGUAGCUUAAAGCAGAGUGAUGUAGCCCUCAUGAAGUUUUCCUCAAAAUCAUCAUGAGCCGGAAUCAUCCUUUACAAUAUCUUUAAUGUCAGUGAAUAGGUUCUAUAAACAUUCCAACGGCCUAAUAUACAUAUAUGCAUGACAGGGUCCCUAUGCUGUACAGCAUAAAUUGACACAACAUUGCAAAUCAACUAUACUCAAAAAAAAAAAAAAGAAAAAGAUUUCACAGAGGAGGCAACAGUUUGCCAGAUCUUUCAAUUUCCUAGUUAACAAAACCAAAAAAAGGAAAGAAAAUAAGAGAAGAGAAAAUAAAAAAAAUAGAGGGAGGAUGGUUAGAACUAUAACUUUAUUUUUAAAAAAGUCAGAAUAAAUGCAAAGCACCUGGGCUUUUUAAUUUGUGUUAAGACCUGUAGAAAAUUAAAGGUGAUGCUGAUGAUAAAGAUAAUGAUGUUAAUGGACGUAUUGGUUGCCUCCCCAGCAGCUGGCUGGGUAUGCGCCUCCUUUCCCCGCUAACGCCUUGAUUUUCCUCCUACUCCUUUUCUGAACUGUAGCAGCCAUGUGUUUUUGGAGGCUGGCCCUGGCUCAGGUGUGAGCUCUGAUUAGUCUAACUCAAUCAACAAAAUCCCAUCCCUCUGCCACUGAUUGAUUUAAGACCCCACAUCUGCAAUAAACAGAGAGGGGUAUUGCUUAGUCACAGAGAUAGUUUCAGGAAAGGGCGUUAAGCCUAGAUUUGGGCCAAUAAGAUGUAAGGGGAAGUUAGAAAAGGGGAUUCUGGGAAACUUUUCCUUAUUCUCAAAGGAAAACCUUAAGAGUGCUCUCUCUUGCUGGCCACUGGCAGCUAUAACAGGACUACAGUAACGAUUUGAUUACCAGCCCGAAGAUGAAGCUAGUACACAAGAAAUGUUCCUACCCCACUCUUCUCUCUCCAAGAAUCACAAGGGAAUGAAGACAAAACCGUGAAAUUAAGUAAAUCCUAAAACCUACCUGACCCGUGGAUUUCCAGGCUGCCAGCUGGGUUCCAGCCUGGUUCCUCCUCCCAGCACAACAGCUUGGAAGCGCUUCAGAAGCAGUGAGAUGGGACGACCAAAAGAUUGUUACUUCUUACCAGGAGCACUGUGCUUGGCUCCAUGGCUUGACCGAGCAGUGCUGAGUCCAUUUGGAGUCGAGUUCAUAGAUUCACUGGGGAUCUACCAUCUCUGGUCACUUUGUACCUGAGGUCUGACUCUUUUUCCAGUACAUUCACACCAUGGUUGUCAGCAUUCACCUCUCUCUAGGUAAGUUUCUUGGAACAUGCUUGAGUCCAAUGAAUCUUUGCUUUAUCCAUAUCAUUGUUGCACAUUGUGGUUCAAUGCUUCACACCUUGUUUCUUACCACUGUUUUUUUAAAAUAUCUGAACCACAUGGAGAUUAUCAUUAUUCUGAAAAUGGGGCAAGGUAUCUGCUUCUGUAGUUUGAACCUAACUAGCAUGGGUCUGACUUUGCUUCCAUAAGUCACUUCCUUAUAGCAAAAGGAAAUUCAUUAUAUUCUUCUGGGUACUCCACCUCAUUCUUAUUGAAAACUGCGUACUUCAGCAUGUGAAGAUGGCCCUGUUUCCGAGGGAAUCACUGUCAAUGGAUGCCUGGUAACAGAUGUUUAUUAUUAUAAGAAAUGGGUGAACAGUCGGUAACAAUCUGGUUUCAGGUCAGUUUUAAGUCACUUUGUUCCUUAUGAUGGUAACUUUAUAAUUUGGACUUGUGGUGCCUAAUGGUGUCAUAUUUCAUCUUGAAUUCUUGCUUCUUGAUCUGGGACACAAGACUUUAUCAGCUACUAUCAGGAGGCAUGCAGUCAUAGGAAUAGAGUUUAAAUACUUUACCCACCACUCUCUCUCAGCAAGUUAUUUAAUUUCACAGAGUUUUUGUGAAAGAGUUGAAAUUCGAUAAGCUCUUUAAUGCUAUUACCACAUCUCCUGGUAUAUGUUAAGUAUUUGUUUAAAUGCAAAAUAAAGAAAAACAGCAAAUAGCACAGAUAUCACCUUGUGAAACUUUUGAUUUGAAGACCAUGGUUCCAGAAAACUAGCUUCCCCAAACCCUACAUGUCAGUACAGAAAUGGACAGGACAUUGCAAUCAAUCCUUUACCCUGGGGAAGAUUCUGGUUCAGACCCAGCUGCGGUCUUCAUGUCCUUCAAAGAAAGUGAGAGAGAGAGAGCAACCCAUUCUGACAAUUCAACAUGACGGCAACUGUCUUUUCACUGGAAACACUGAAAAUUGUUUUUUGUUGCUUUGAGACUCACCCAUACAAGUGACAAAAGCAAUUCUUUAAAAUCUUGGGAAAACAUAUUUGCAUUCAAGGUUUCAGAAAUCACUAUUAAACAAAAGCAAGUUCUGUGUUCUUGAACAUGUCAGAUGCCUCUUGUAGCUAUUUUGGAUAGUAUUUUAGUUUUUGUGUUAGGUUUUGUAUGUGUUUGUGUGUUUUGUUUUUAUUGGAAAAAAAAAUCUCAUUAUAAUGAUUUGACCUCUAGUUUUAUUCCAAGACUUAGAACCCAGAUGCAGCAUUAAAACUACAAGAUACUGGAAAUAUUGACAGUCAUUUAAAAUAUGAUAUAUCUAGGGAUACUUUUAAAGACCUGUUGUGUUUGUGUUAAUAUCGAGCACUUACAUCUAAAUGGAUAUAAUAGUUUUCUGUGGAUUUGUGAAGACAAGGCACUAUUUUUCUUGGUCGAUGUUAUCCAGUUAUUUGUAAACAUACUCAGUGUCCUUGUUGUGUAAAAUGAUACUGUUAUCUGUCCAAUUUGGAGUGCCUAUCAUAGAUCUUGACUGAGCCAAUUUUUGAAAAGGAAUCAGUAUGACAUGGUAUUUCGUUAACUUGUCUGUAGGCUUCCCAAGGAGAUAAAGCAAAUGAAGUAAUUCUUGGCAAAAAUAGCGCCACGUGUCCUCAGUAACUAGGGUUUGGACACAGGGCUAUUAUUCUCAGUCAGCAUUGAAGUGUUGGCCUUAUAUCCAAGCAAAGAGAUCUCUCAGAUUGUGUCCUUAUUAGCUAAGUAUGUUGAUCUGUUUGGCUGGUAAUAACUUGAUCCCUCUCACCUGUUUACUUAUCAACAGAGUGGGGGAAAUAACAGAACACCCUUAAUAAGGGCAUUUUGAAAAUUAUAUAAGAUGAUGCUCAUAAAGCAUGUACAAAUGUAAGCAUGUACAAAUAAUAGCAUAAAAAAUGUAAGCUCCUUCUACAAAU